ACAACUCACCUGCCGAAUCAACUAGCCCUGAAAAUGGAUGGCACUGGAGCGUCGGGACCAUACCCAGCCGUCGCUGGCAGUCGGGGGGCGGGGGGGGGGGGCGGAGAAAGAAAAAAAAUCAAUAA
rnacentral:miRNA from 1 species